CUCUUUAAGAGGCAGACAAUAAAGGAAGGUUUUCAAUUAAGAAAAUAACUAGGUCUACAACCAAGAAUCAACUACCCAGAAAAACUGACUAUAUUCUUACAGGGGAAAGUACAGUCAUUUAAUAAAAUAGAAGAAUUCCAAGCAUUUGUAAAGAAAAGACCAGACCUGAACAGAAAAUUUGAUGCCCAAACACAGAGCCCAAGAGAAUCAUUAAAAGGUACUGGACAAUACAGCAAUGAUCCCAAUCCUUAUAGUAUAACAGAAGAUAAAAUAUUGGGAAUAAUGACAUAAUAGAACAUGAUAAAAGAAUAGAUGAACAACAUUUUAUGAAUAAAAAUCUAAGGAAAAAAAGAUCA
rnacentral:lncRNA from 1 species